rnacentral:rRNA from 1 species
CGCGUAGGCGGUUUGCUAAGUCGGAUGUGAAAUCCCCGGGCUCAACCUGGGAACUGCAUCCGAUACUGGCCGACUCGAGUGCGAGAGAGGGAGGUAGAAUUCCACGUGUAGCGGUGAAAUGCGUAGAUAUGUGGAGGAAUACCGGUGGCGAAGGUGGCCUCCUGGCUCGACACUGACGCUGAAGUGCGAAAGCGUGGGAGCAAACA